GGGCCUAUAGCUCAGCGGUCAGAGCAGGGGACUCAUAAUCCCUUGGUCGCAGGUUCAAAUCCUGCUGGGCCCA
rnacentral:tRNA from 2 species